rnacentral:rRNA from 1 species
AUUGAACGCUGGCGGCAUGCCUUACACAUGCAAGUCGAACGGCAGCACGGGUGCUUGCACCUGGUGGCGAGUGGCGAACGGGUGAGUAAUACAUCGGAACAUGUCCUGUAGUGGGGGAUAGCCCGGCGAAAGCCGGAUUAAUACCGCAUACGAUCUACGGAUGAAAGCGGGGGACCUUCGGGCCUCGCGCUAUAGGGUUGGCCGAUGGCUGAUUAGCUAGUUGGUGGGGUAAAGGCCUACCAAGGCGACGAUCAGUAGCUGGUCUGAGAGGACGACCAGCCACACUGGGACUGAGACACGGCCCAGACUCCGACGGGAGGCAGCAGUGGGGAAUUUUGGACAAUGGGCGAAAGCCUGAUCCAGCAAUGCCGCGUGUGUGAAGAAGGCCUUCGGGUGGGAAAGCACUGUUGUCCGGAAAGAAAUCCUUGGCCCUAAUACGGUCGGGGGAUGACGGUACCGGAAGAAUAAGCACCGGCUAACUACGUG